UACGAAGGGGGCUAGCGUUGUUCGGAAUUACUGGGCGUAAAGGGCGCGUAGGCGGUCUUGUAAGUCAGAUGUGAAAGCCCCGGGCUCAACCCGGGAAUAGCAUUUGAUACUGCGAGGCUUGAGUCCGGGAGAGGAUGGCGGAAUUCCCAGUGUAGAGGCGAAAUUCGUAGAUAUUGGGAAGAACACCGGUGGCGAAGGCGGCCAUCUGGACCGGCACUGACGAUGAGGCGCGAAAGCGUGGGGAGCAAACAGG
rnacentral:rRNA from 1 species